UACCUCGCAUUUCUUGAAUGCGAGGUACUCAAUCUGAACACAAACAAAGUUCCCAAUUUCGGCAUUCAAGUCUGUCUCACUCUCCCUUCACUCUCUCCGUCCAGCUCACUCCUCACUUUCUCUUCUCUUGGGCGCCGCUUUCUCAUCGGAAAUCUUGGUCACAGCUUUGUCGUCGGAAUCUCUCGGCCUUCUCGUCGGAAGCUCUUCUAUUUUGUAGAGCUGCAGCAUUUCUCCUCAAGCGAAAUCUGGCGGCGGCACUUUCUCAUCCAAAGCUCUCAUCGGAAGCAUUGGAAGCUCUCGCCCAUUGCAGAGCUUCCUCUUUGGGAACCCAUCUCUGCUAGCUAGCUGCCCCUCUCUCCCUCCUCCCAAUUUGCCAUUUUUACAACCUCAACAGGAUACAACCUCAACAGGAUAAUUUUUCCAAACCAAUUCAGUGAUUUGCUGCAAUUUUGAGCGCUCCUGUUUUAAACUGAAAUCUUUUUGCAGAGUCAUACGAUUAUCCCUCCUUUUCUUUGUUUUCAUCAUUUAUUUUCUCUCUCUUUUUUUCUGUUCAAAGUACUUAUUUUUCUAGAGAUGUUUGUAUGGAAUUAUAGUCUAUCGAAGACCAAAUUUCAAACUUGUUUAAGUAAUUACUUUCAUGGGUAUCUUCAAUUUGGUUUGAAUAUCAGCUACCGUGUGAAGGGAUCAAAUUGAGUGGAAAAAAUUUUAGAUCUCCACUGAAUGUGAAAGAGCAUGAAUGCUUAUAUGAUGAUUGUUGUGGAGCAAGAACGUACUGUUGCCUUGAAGUUAAUUGCCUUCAAUGACUAGUAUUUCUAUCUUCAUUUCUUAGGCAGAAGUGUUGGACCCUGCGGUAAAGGGAACUCUGAAUGUGCUACAAUCAUGUGCAAGAGUUUCAUCUGUCAAAAGAGUGGUAGUAACAUCUUCUAUGGCCUCAAUUGCAUACAACCGAGAAGUGAAGGAUGGUGUUGUAGUUGAUGAAAGUCGGUUUUCAGAGCAAUCAUACUGUGUAGAACGCAAGUUGCAGAGAAUGGACACUCGCUUGGCACGUAUAGAUGAUCAUUUAGGCAUUACUCCACCUCAGGGUGGAGCUGCAGAUGAAGAUGACGAUUGAAGCUGCACCAUUAGGAUCACUAUAUUAUUUGUACAUGGAUUUGCUUGCAUUUUGUUUUUAAUCUGUGGAAUGUUGGAUGUUUAACUUGAUUUUACUUUUUCUGUUUUUUAAUUUACUAAAGACUUGUGCUUUUGCAGUGGUUUGUGAUUAUUGGCUGACAAGUUGUUGGAAAUAUUGCUUGGAUUAAA